CGGCAAACCGGUGGGAGCAUGUGGUUUAUUCGAAGCAACGCGAAGAACCUUACCAGGUCUUGACAUCCUCUGACAACUCUAGAGAUAGAGCGUUCCCCUUCGGGGGACAGAGUGACAGGUGGUGCAUGGUUGUCGUCAGCUCGUGUCGUGAGAUGUUGGGUUAAGUCCCGCAACGAGCGCAACCCUUGAUCUUAGUUGCCAGCAUUUAGUUGGGCACUCUAAGGUGACUGCCGGUGACAAACCGGAGGAAGGUGGGGAUGACGUCAAAUCAUCAUGCCCCUUAUGACCUGGGCUACACACGUGCUACAAUGGAUGGUACAAAGGGCUGCAAGACCGCGAGGUCAAGCCAAUCCCAUAAAACCAUUCUCAGUUCGGAUUGUAGGCUGCAACUCGCCUACAUGAAGCUGGAAUCGCUAGUAAUCGCGGAUCAGCAUGCCGCGGUGAAUACGUUCCCGGGCCUUGUACACACCCCGCCCGAAA
rnacentral:rRNA from 2 species